GAUGAACGCUAGCUACAGGCUUAACACAUGCAAGUCGAGGGGAAACGACAUCGAAAGCUUGCUUUUGAUGGGCGUCGACCGGCGCACGGGUGAGUAACGCGUAUCCAACCUGCCCAUCACUUGGGGAUAACCUUGCGAAAGUAAGACUAAUACCCAAUGAUAUCUCUAGAAGACAUCUGAAAGAGAUUAAAGAUUUAUCGGUGAUGGAUGGGGAUGCGUCUGAUUAGCUUGUUGGCGGGGUAACGGCCCACCAAGGCAACGAUCAGUAGGGGUUCUGAGAGGAAGGUCCCCCACAUUGGAACUGGGACACGGUCCAAACUCCUACGGGAGGCAGCAGUGAGGAAUAGUGGUCAAUGGGCGAGAGCCUGAACCAGCCAAGUAGCGUGCAGGAAGACGGCCCUAUGGGUUGUAAACUGCUUUUAUAAGGGAAUAAAGUGAGAGUCGUGACUCUUUUUGUAUGUACCUUAUGAAUAAGGACCGGCUAAUUCCGUG
rnacentral:rRNA from 1 species